AUUGAACGCUGGCGGCAGGCCUAACACAUGCAAGUCGAGCGCGCGGCGGACGGGUGAAUAAUGUCUGGGAAUUGCCCAGUCGGGGGGGAUAACAGUUGGACACGACUGCUAAUCCCGCAUACGCUUGGAAUGCCUAGGUGGGAUUAGCUAGUUGGGGAGGGAAUGGCUCACCAAGGCGACGAUCCCUAGCUGGUCUGAGAGGAUGAUCAGCCAAACUGGAACUGAGACACGGUCCAGACUCCUACGGGAGGCAGCAGUGGGGAAUAUUGCACAAUGGGGGAAACCCUGAUGCAGCCAUGCCGCGUGUGUGAAGAAGGCCUUCGGGUUGUAAAGCACUUUCAGCGAGGAGGCGUUACUCGCAGAAGAAGCACCGGCUAACUCCGUGCCAGCAGCCGCGGUAAUAC
rnacentral:rRNA from 1 species